rnacentral:rRNA from 1 species
AUUGAACGCUGGCGGCAUGCCUUACACAUGCAAGUCGAACGGUAACAGGUCUUCGGAUGCUGACGAGUGGCGAACGGGUGAGUAAUGCAUCGGAACGUGCCCAGUCGUGGGGGAUAACGCAGCGAAAGCUGCGCUAAUACCGCAUACGAUCUAUGGAUGAAAGCGGGGGACCGUAAGGCCUCGCGCGAGUGGAGCGGCCGAUGUCAGAUUAGGUAGUUGGUGAAGUAAAGGCUCACCAAGCCGACGAUCUGUAGCUGGUCUGAGAGGACGACCAGCCACACUGGGACUGAGACACGGCCCAGACUCCUACGGGAGGCAGCAGUGGGGAAUUUUGGACAAUGGGGGCAACCCUGAUCCAGCAAUGCCGCGUGCAGGAAGAAGGCCUUCGGGUUGCAAACUGCUUUUGUACGGAACGAAACGGCUCUGGUUAAUACCUGGGGCUAAUGACGGUACCGUAAGAAUAAGCACCGGCUAACUACGUGCCAGCCGCCGCGGUAACAC